UUCUCUCUUAGGACAGCACUGAAGACUUUUCUUCUCAUAAUGUAAUAGUUACUGCUAUAGUUCUGAAAUUCUAAUUCCAAAAAGAGAAUUUUUACAAGGAAACUGGACUUUUAAUUCCUUCUUUUGUUGACACCAUUUGUCAGGUCAGAUUAUUAAACAUGACUGGCCUGUGUGAGAGAAACAUGGACAAAGUCCCAGCCUGUCUCAUGAUCGGGUAUUUAUAGGGAGCUAUUAAUGGACAUGGGCUCUGCAGAGAUCAUUUACCAUCCUGAAAAUAUCACUUUCAGCUUAAUAAUUACUUCUUCAAAGUGUGAGGUCUUCCCUCUUUCAGAAGGUGAGGAAAACCAGUAUAUUUUCUCAAUUCAUUGGAAAAUUAGUAGUCUCUUUACAGUAAAGAAGUAGUCUAGACUUAAAAUGUUUCUGUACUGACUGUGCCAUAGUAUAAUCCAUUACUAACAGUCUGUAUUUGUUUUAAUAAUUUCUUUUCUUUGCUACAUGUGCUAUUACAGAGCAAGGCCUUGCAAUCACACAUUAGGUGGAUCAGGUAACAAAUUAAAUGCUGCAGGUUUGCUGUGAAUUACUGCUGCCCAACUUUAAGAUGUUUCUAGAAUUACUCCAAACUUUGUAAGUGGCACAUUGACAACUUCCUUAAAUUUACUGUGCUCAUUCAUUUUGCCAGUUUAUUUAUUUGCUUUCAGUUUUACUUAUUUAUUUUAUGUUAUUUUUCCCUGUAGUUUUGAGGGUUUCUUUCAGGCCAGCUGUCUUGAAAGACUGAAGUGGAUGUUUUGAAAAGAUUUAACCUGAAGAUUUAACAUCUGCUUCCAAUUAACAAGCAGUGUCCCUACACGAAGUGAUCCAGGCUGUGCUGAUUUGCCAUGUACAAUUCUGUGUAUAUGUUUGAUGACAAUUCUGAUGAAGAAAUCCCUACCCAACGAGCUAUUCAGGAAAGCUUACAGGAGAGGCACAAAACUGAAACAAGUGGCUGUGCAACAGAGGCUGAAAGUUUCCAGUCUACUGCAAGUAAAGAACAUGGAGAGAUAAUUGCAGCAAUUCAGACAGGCCAAGAAGAGGCCUUGAAGAAGCUGGUGAAGCACAGCUGUGCCUUUGAAGAAGCAGAUCAGCAGGGCUGGCUUCCUGUGCAUGAAGCUGCAGCACAGCCAAAUAAGAACAUCCUUGAAAUAACCAUGAAAGCCUCCCAGGCCCACACGUGGGAACAGAGAACCCUGAAAGGGGAAACACCUCUCCUGGUGGCAGUGAGGAAGUGCUUUGUGGACAAUGUGUGCUUGCUCCUCAUCAAUGGCUGCAAUCCCAACGUUAAGAAUGAAGAGGGAGAUUCUCCUUUAGUUACAGCAAUUAAACAGGAUUCCUACGAAAUGGCCUCCUUGCUGAUAAGAUCUGGAGCCAAAGUGGAUCUGCAGUGUGUCCACAAGAGAACUGCUCUACACGAGGCAGCCAGGCUGGGCAGGAAGGAUCUGGUGGAGCUCCUCCUUCAUUCCGGAGCAGAUCCCGACCCUCGCAGUGGAUAUGGGCUCACACCUCUGGCACUGGCUGCACAGAUGGGACACACAGAGAUUAUGGAGCUCUUAUUGCAAAAAGGUGCAGAUGUUCUUUCACAGGCAAUGGAUUGUGCUUCUGUAUUAUUUGAAGCAGCAGGAGGAGGAAAUCCAGAUUCUGUGAGUCUUUUACUAGAAUAUGGGGCUGAUGCCAAUGUACCAAAGCACUCGGGUCAUUUGCCAAUCCACAGAGCUGCAUAUAGAGGACACUUUCUAGCCCUAAAAUAUUUAGUUCCAGUUACUGAUUUUGCUGCCAUUAAAGAAAGUGGGAUAAGUCCAGUUCACUCAGCAGCAGCAGGAGCACAUCCACAGUGCCUCGAGUUUCUCCUCAACUCUGGGUUUGAUGCCAAUUUUAUGCUGGAUCAGCGGGUUCGCAAAGGCUAUGAUGACCACCGCAAAUCAGCGCUGUAUUUUGCCGUGUCCAACGGGGAUCUCUGCUCCACGCGGCUGCUGCUGAACGCCGGAGCCCUGACCAACCAGGAUCCCAUCAACUGCCUGCAAAUCGCCCUGAGAAUGGGCAAUUACGAGUUAAUGAACCUGCUGCUCCGCCACGGGGCCAACGUGAAUUACUUCUGCAGAGUGAACACCACGCACUUCCCCUCGGCGCUGCAGUACGCCCUGAAGGACGAGGUCAUGCUGAGGAUGCUGCUCAACUACGGGUACAACGUGCAGCGCUGCUUCGACUGCCCCGGCGGAGACCACUGCCACUCGCAAUAUGUCACUGACGGCUGGACCUCCACUGUCAUCAAAGACACGAUGUUCUGUGAAGUGAUAACCUUGUCGUGGCUGAAGCACGUAUCCGGGAAAGUGGUGCGAGUGAUGUUGGACUACGUCGAUCACAUCAAGAUCUGCUGGAAGCUCGAAGCAGUUCUCAAAGAACAGAAACUCUGGCCAGACAUCAAUUUUAUUUUAACAAAUCCUCGCUCUCUGAAGCAUCUGUGUCGCCUGAAGAUCCGGGAGUGCAUGGGCCGGCUGCGUCUCCGCUGUCCUGUCUUCAUGACCUUCCUUCCACUGCCCAAGUGCCUGAAAGACUACAUACUGUACAAGGAAUAUGACCUUUAUGGACAGGAAAACUUCACAGGAAUCUACAACCUCAACUGUACAUAAGUAUAUCCCUGUAUUUUGAAGGGAAUGUUAAAUGGAUAAGACUGUUGUGCUGCUGCUUUUUUCUUUGCGGAUUUUUUCUCCUAUGUGUAUUAAGGAAUGCCAGCAUCCCCCCCCCCCGCUCCCUGAAGAAACUGGGGAGAACCCCAAAAUAUUUUGAGCCUCCAGAUUCACCAAAAGGAUUUGUGCGUCUAUUAAAAAAUGAAAACAUUGAACCAGCAGUCAGAUUACAGAACCACUCAUGGAUAAUGCAGUAGUCUCAUGCUGUGACAAAUACCAAUGUAUGAUGAUUUCACAAACUUGUAAUUUGCAGGAAUAUGAAUCUGGAGUAUCCUGAAUCACCAGGAUAGGCAAUUUAAUCAGGAGACACAUAAACAGCUGUAUUUGAGGGCCCACAUUAUGGGACAAACACCAGAUAUUGUCCUAUUGCUGCCAUAGAAAGUUUUGCUCACAUGGUAUUUUCUUUUUAUAUUUGAAUUAAGCUCAAAUCAAAACCUUGUCAAUAUUUGGAAAGUUUUAGGGGAUGACAUUUCACAGACCAGCUUCAGGAAGCACAACCAAAAGCUGGUUCUUUCAGAGCUCCGUAGGAGCACCCACUUCUCCUCACUGUUUCAAGGUGCUGAAUUACUUACUGAAGAGAAGUCACUGGGUUUGUUUCAAAUGCAGCUUUCUGAAAACAUCACUGGGGUUUUACUCCUAGAGGGUCAAGAGAAAUGUGGCUAUUUCUGGCUCUCAAAGACAGAACUGCCAUCGGUUACAAAGAGAAGUGAAAAUACUCUAGGCUUCCAAGUUUCAUUUUUCAAAAGCACUGAAGUAAUGCUGAAAAGGGCACAGGAAAUGGGGACAUUUUAUUUAUUGUAAAGAGGAAAUCACCUUUCUCUUUGCCUAACUGGUAGCUGAAAAGCUAUUGGUAAGGGCUCAGUAGACUUCAAAUUAGGUUUUAUCUGGGAGUAAUGAAGGUGUGACCUCUCAAUAGUGUUCUAACAAUAAAUUACAGAGCUAAAAGAAAAAAAAACUGUUCUAAAUAGAACUCUGAAGGCAAGCUAGUAUUGCUAAAAUGAAUAACAUGGAUUCUUUCAAGAACCAUCCCAUUAAAUUGGCCUGGGUAAAUACACUAAAGGCAAAUUCUUUCUAUUAGGAUCUUCUACCACUCAGACUUUUCUUGUCAUUUAAGGUUAAACUGCAAUAGUAAAUGUAAAAUCUCACAGGAUCUCUCAAAAGGCAAAAAUAAAAUAAGAAUACUUGUCAUCAGUAUUAGAAAUGAAGGAAAGUAUUUUUAUUUUUUUAAUAAUUAAUAUUUCUAAAGUAGCAUGUUGCCUAUCUGUACAAACACUGCAGUGCUUUACUGAAAGUGAUGGUUAAUUGAAAAAGCUGAGCACAACUCUAUCAUUUCUGCUACAAAACCCAUGAUUUUCUGGAAAGAAUUGUAGCUGAUGACAUGAACAUAUAAUU